rnacentral:rRNA from 1 species
UACGUAGGGUGCGAGCGUUAAUCGGAAUUACUGGGCGUAAAGCGUGCGUAGGCGGUUCGUUAAGUUCGUUGUGAAAGCCCCGGGCUCAACCUGGGAAUGGCAUUUGGGACUGCAAGGCUUGAGUGCGGCAGAGGAGACUGGAAUUCCUGGUGUAGCAGUGAAAUGCGUAGAUAUCAGGAGGAAUACCGAUGGCGAAGGCAGGUCUCUGGGCUGACACUGACGCUCAUGCACGAAAGCGUGGGGAGCAAACAGG